rnacentral:rRNA from 1 species
UGGGGAAUUUUGGACAAUGGGCGAAAGCCUGAUCCAGCAAUGCCGCGUGUGUGAAGAAGGCCUUCGGGUUGUAAAGCACUUUUGUCCGGAAAGAAAUCCUUGGCUCUAAUACAGUCGGGGGAUGACGGUACCGGAAGAAUAAGCACCGGCUAACUACGUGCCAGCAGCCGCGGUAAUACGUAGGGUGCAAGCGUUAAUCGGAAUUACUGGGCGUAAAGCGUGCGCAGGCGGUUUGCUAAGACCGAUGUGAAAUCCCCGGGCUCAACCUGGGAACUGCAUUGGUGACUGGCAGGCUAGAGUAUGGCAGAGGGGGGUAGAAUUCCACGUGUAGCAGUGAAAUGCGUAGAGAUGUGGAGGAAUACCGAUGGCGAAGGCAGCCCCCUGGGCCAAGUACUGACGCUCAUGCACGAAAGCGUGGGGAGCAAACNGGAUUAAUNCCCUGGUAGUCCACGCCCUAAANGAUGUCAACUAGUUGUUGGGGAUUCAUUUCCUAGUAACGUAGCUAACGCGUGAGUUGACCGCCUGGGGGAGUACGGCCGCAAGGUUAAAA